GCCGGGGUGGCGGAAUGGCAGACGCGGCGGACUUAAAAUCCGUUGCCCGCAAGGGCGUGUGGGUUCGAGUCCCACCCUCGGUA
rnacentral:tRNA from 1 species